AACGAACGCUGGCGGCAUGCCUAACACAUGCAAGUCGAACGAGACCUUCGGGUCUAGUGGCGCACGGGUGCGUAACGAGUGGGAACCUGCCCUUAGGUUCGGAAUAACUCCCCGAAAGGGGUGCUAAUACCGGAUAAUGUCUUCGGACCAAAGAUUUAUCGCCUUUGGAUGGGCCCGCGUUGGAUUAGCUAGUUGGUAGGGUAAAAGCCUACCAAGGCGACGAUCCAUAGCUGGUCUGAGAGGAUGAUCAGCCACACUGGGACUGAGACACGGCCCAGACUCCUACGGGAGGCAGCAGUGGGGAAUAUUGGACAAUGGGCGAAAGCCUGAUCCAGCAAUGCCGCGUGAGUGAUGAAGGCCUUAGGGUUGUAAAGCUCUUUUACCCGGGAUGAUAAUGACAGUACCGGGAGAAUAAGCGCCGGCUAACUCCGUG
rnacentral:rRNA from 1 species